UCAAUGGCCUUUCAUAUCCCAAAUCAUUUCACUCACACAAUCGUUCUCCUUCCUCUAGAAUUCAAGGAUUCACCCAAUUAGUUCUCCUAUACACAAAUCUACAAGAAACUGCUAUAGAAGGAAGACAACCAGAGUUUCAGCCAUCUCAGAAAACUUGGUCCAAGGGAAUCGCUGCAGCAUCAAAAAGAGUCUGACAGAAGAUGACAGCUGAAAAUGUUAGAAGAUGACACAAGGAUCACAAGCAGAACAGGAGCAUGCAUAAUGAUCCCACCAACAAAACUUAGACAGUAAUUAGGAUGGGUAUCAAGGAGUGCAGGGAGAAUAGGAAGCAUAGUUUCAGAACUGAGAUCUAGUACAGGGAGAGUGGGAGACUAUCAGAUGUACAUUACAGACGUGCAUAUCACACACACACCAUUGGUAAUAUGACAUACACUAAAUGAACUGGAUAAUAAUUGCACAAUACUGUAUAAAAUAUUUUGUAUAAAGCAAGAAAAGUUUAAGAUAGAGAGGGAAAGCAUUGUGAUAUCUCCAACACAAAGAAAGUAGACGAUCAUUCAACAUAAAACUUGCAGAAGCCAACUCUCAUAAGUCAUAGCAUGAACCUCUGAGUGAAUGGUCAAUGAAGAACUAAAAUACGAAAGGAUCAUUAAAAAAGCAGCUCAGCAUCAAGUCAUGUCAACCAUGGAUUUUUUAAUAUCAUAGGUGACUUGCAAACCUUCUCUCUCUCUCUCUCUCUCUCCUGAUAUCUCUUUUAUUUAUUUAUUAGUGUUUGCUCUAAUGGAAACAUUAAGCUACAUAACAAACAUAACCUCCAGAAAAAUAUGAACCAAAUCCCACCCAUGAGAUCAAAAGGUCAUUUUCAAAAGCUACAUAGAGAUGUAGAUAUGUAUAUAUGUAUGUAGUAAACCUUAUAUCAAUUUUGAUAUGAAGGAGAACUUCAUUUUUGUUUGCAAUAAGUUUCUCUUUUUUUUUUCGUGUGUGGAUUGGGGGGUGGGGUAUUCUCCUUGAUUGGAUUGGUGAUAUAGAACUUGAGAAUCCACCACACACACACACACACACAUAUAUAUAAUUCAAUAGUUACAAUGGGGGAGGGGGGAGGGGGGAUUGAAACCAUGAAUGUCUCCGUUGGAAACACUAAAAGGUGCCAACCUGUUGAGCUGCAAAGCUACUGGCUGCUAGCAAGAACCCACCAAAUAUAUGGAGAACAAAUACAAUAAUAACUAGAUGCGAAUAUGACUUUUAUUACCCAUGAUCCAAUUAAUGACCAUUUUAGCUAUCAUAAAAGAAAGGAGGAAAAAGGUGAGGGGCAACAAAUACUAAAAUCAUAAACCUAGUCUUAAAUCUCACAAAACUAGACUAAAAUAUAUGACUUCACAAAGUCCAUAUGCAGUAUGUUUAUAUCUUAUAUCUCUCAAAAAAGUAGAAAAUUGUACAAGCACCUAACUCCAAUGAGGAUUCAACUAUAUGAUACCAGUUAGCAAAAAAAUAGAUGACAAAAACCAACCAAUGAAAUCUAGCUCAAUUAGCAUCUCCUCCCCCCAGGGAUAGAGUGGAAGGCUCAAGCCCCACCAAAUAGCUAACUUGCUGAUAAAAAAGGAAAUACAUGACCAAAAAAUGAUAAAGAACAAUUUGGAAACAUCAAGCUUCACUCCAUUUGUUUCAACAGAAAAUAGUUUUCUCCUAUCUUUGGUUGCAUCCCUCCAAUGAUCCCAAAAAACAUAUUCCACUAUUUUGCACAAUGAGGUCAAAGGGUGCAAUGUUGGAGCCGAAUUGAGGAUAAACCUAUGUCCUAGACUAAGGAAUGUGAUGGUUCAAAAUGAUCAAAUGCUCGGUGUUGUUCAACAACAUUAGGGAGAAAGGUGUGUGUGCACACACACAUACAGAGGGGGGGAGAGAGAUUCUUUUUCUUUAUUUUUUUUCUAUCAAGAAUGGAAGCCAUGUAACAUGAAGAUUUUUUAAGCAUUUAAGCCGUUUUUGGAUUAUUUUCCAUUGAUUUUAGAUAAGGUUUUCCAUUGACCAAGAUCUUCAAUUGUACCAAACGUCAAAAAGUGUUUUAUACCAAAACAAUUUGAAGAGUUAAUGAGCUAACAAGAGAAGGAUUGUGAUUCAAGUAGCAAUUUUGACACUACAAUGUUUAAUGAAAGGAGUGUAGACAUUGUGCACUCAUAAAUGAGGAGUGAGUUGUUAAAUACAUGGAUUCAUGUAGCAUUUGAUAUUUCUCUUUAUUGGUGUCACAUUAUACAA